rnacentral:rRNA from 1 species
AGUGAACGCUGGCGGUAGGCCUAACACAAGCAAGUCGAACGGCAGCACAGGAGAGCUUGCUCUCUGGGUGGCGAGUGGCGGACGGGUGAGGAAUACAUCGGAAUCUGCCCAGUCGUGGGGGAUAACGUAGGGAAACUUACGCUAAUACCGCAUACGACCUUCGGGUGAAAGAGGGGGAUCGCAAGACCUCUCGCGAUUGGAUGAGCCGAUGUCGGAUUAGCUAGUUGGCGGGGUAAUGGCCCACCAAGGCGACGAUCCGUAGCUGGUCUGAGAGGAUGAUCAGCCACACUGGAACUGAGACACGGUCCAGACUCCUACGGGAGGCAGCAGUGGGGAAUAUUGGACAAUGGGCGCAAGCCUGAUCCAGCCAUACCGCGUGGGUGAAGAAGGCCUUCGGGUUGUAAAGCCCUUUUGUUGGGAAAGAAAUCUUUCAGGCUAAUACCCUGGGAGGAUGACGGUACCCAAAGAAUAAGCACCGGCUAACUUCGUG